UGUUUCAAAGAAAACCAUGGUUACCUCUUCAUGUAAUCAAUGAUGUGAUAUGGUGUUGCAAGAGGAAGAGGCCACGAAGCCUUGCAACACCAGCUCACCUCUUCCCACCUUCUGUAGAUAUAUAUAGAUGAGCCAAGUCUCUCAACUUUCUUGAAAACCACACGAAGAGAAGAAAGGAAGCAAGAGUAGUGACCAAGAAGGAGGAAAAGGAAGACCCAGCAGAAAUCAUCAUCAUCUGCGUGCGUCGCCACCAAGAAGAAAGAGAAGGACAUCAAGAGAGCUGCUACCCGAAGCCAAAGAAGGAACCCUACCUCUUUCCUUUUCUGGUUUUCUUAGUGUUCUUCUUGUUGGGGUUUUCUGAUUUAAUAUAGCAAAGGACAGACUUUGGUUUGUGAAAUUUUCAAAGAGAGGUAAGGGAUAGUAUAUAUAGAAUAUCUUGUUUGUAGUUGUGUGUACUGAUGAUGAUGGAUGGUUUAUCAUGUGUUUGAUUGAUGAGAAGUGUUUAUUAAUUUUCUAUUAUGAUGAAAUGUAAAAAAAAAAGUGAAUUAGAAUUA